rnacentral:rRNA from 1 species
GAUGAGCGCUGGCGGCGUGCCUAAUACAUGCAAGUCGAGCGAACGGACGAGAAGCUUGCUUCUCUGAUGUUAGCGGCGGACGGGUGAGUAACACGUGGAUAACCUACCUAUAAGACUGGGAUAACUUCGGGAAACCGGAGCUAAUACCGGAUAAUAUUUUGAACCGCAUGGUUCAAAAGUGAAAGACGGUCUUGCUGUCACUUAUAGAUGGAUCCGCGCUGCAUUAGCUAGUUGGUAAGGUAACGGCUUACCAAGGCAACGUUGCAUAGCCGACCUGAGAGGGUGAUCGGCCACACUGGAACUGAGACACGGUCCAGACUCCUACGGGAGGCAGCAGUAGGGAAUCUUCCGCAAUGGGCGAAAGCCUGACGGAGCAACGCCGCGUGAGUGAUGAAGGUCUUCGGAUCGUAAAACUCUGUUAUUAGGGAAGAACAUAUGUGUAAGUAACUGUGCACAUCUUGACGGUACCUAAUCAGAAAGCCACGGCUAACUACGUG